rnacentral:rRNA from 1 species
GGAUUCCCUUAGUAGCGGCGAGCGAACAGGGAGAAGCCCAGCACUGAAGCCCACAAUCGGUAACGAUUGUCGGGCAAUGUAGUGUUUGGGAGAGCUCGUUUAACCUAAGUAUUUAUAGAUGAGUCCAAGUCCUUCUUGAAGGGGGCCAUUUACCCAUAGAGGGUGCCAGGCCCGUAGUGACCAUUUAUAUGUUUAGGUGAGUUUCUCCUUAGAGUCGGGUUGCUUGAGAGUGCAGCUCUAAGUGGGUGGUAAACUCCAUCUAAGGCUAAAUAUUACUGCAAAACCGAUAGCGAACAAGUACCGUGAGGGAAAGUUGAAAAGAACUUAGAAGUGAGAGUUCAAGAGUACGUGAAACUGUUCAGGGUUAAACCUGUAAUAUUCAAAUAUGCGAAUGGGGAGAUUCAAUUGCCUUACCAAUUGUGGCCUUUAUGCAGUGUUUAUAUAUUUUAUAUAAAUUUAGAGACACUAUAUGUCGGAUAUUGUAUUUUUUAUUUUAUAUUGUAUUAUAUAGUGCUCCACUGCUUAUAUGUUUUGUUUAUAUUUGGAGGCAUGCACUUCUCCCCUAGUAGAUCGUUGUGAUCCAUUGGUAUUUGGGUGUCUAAGGCCUACAAUGGAGCCCGUGUCGUCAAGUUUUACGACUUGUGCGUACCGGACUUGUAGUGUCCUGACAUCUAACUGAUGGUAUUAUAAUAGAUGAUAAAUCGCAUAAUUUUUAUGCGUUUAUUAACCUAUAACAAAUGCUUAUACGUUUUUUGCAAUAAACGGAAUUUAUAUGCCGUUUUUACUCGUAUAGCAUUGUUAGUUAUAGUGUCUUGAACGGAUUUUAAUUUUAUCAUCUGUCUACAGCGUUUAUUGUUUUGGGUGAUUACAGGACCCGUCUUGAAACACGGACCAAGGAGUCUAGCAUAUAUGCAAGUCAUUGGGACAUGAAUAAACCCAAAGGCGUAAUGAAAGUGAAUGUUUUUAUUAUAUUAUUUUUAUAUUAUUAUAAAAAUAAAGGGAAGAUGGGUGAUGGAAUUUAUAUUGCCUCGCAUUCCCAGGGCGUUGCAAACACAUUGCGUGUUGUGGCGCACCAUGAGCAUAUACGCU